CAACCCUCAAGCUCAGCUUGGUAUUGAGUCCAUGUCAGCAAUGGCAGGCUCUAAAAUCAGUGGCGGCGCCGCUGGGUCCUGAACGUAGUAAUAUCUCUCGUUACAGGUGCUCAACGUGCUUCUGCCAAAACCCCAAAUUUUCUAU
rnacentral:misc_RNA from 1 species